rnacentral:tRNA from 1 species
GGAGUAGUAGCUCAGUGGUAGAGCUCUUGCCUGGCAUACAUGAGGCCCUGGGUGCAAUCUCCAGCCCUUCUC